rnacentral:snoRNA from 1 species
UUUCAAAAUAGAAUGCUCAGUAAUGUCAAAGUUGCAGGAACCUAGUCUUAGAUCCUAUAAAGGCAGGCCCACUGGGGCUGACUGGGAAAGAAGGUGAAAAUUUGUUUCAGAAGGAACCAUCUCAGGGAU